UUUCUCGGAUAGAUGGAAGAAGUGAGAGGCUUGAAAUGUUCAUGCAGCUAGAUGUGAAUACGAAGAUUUAUCCCAUUAAAGAAGAAGAGAAGUAUGCAUUGCUAACAACUGCCACUCUUCAUGCUGAUGGAACAGGGCAAGCAAGGAUCCAUAGCUGGCAAAUAUGAAUAUGUCAUGUAUGGAAAACUGUACAAGAUCCGGGAGGAAGGUUCAGGAGCUGAUAUUAAAGCGGAGUUAUUUAUUUCCUUUUGUGGCCUUUGGACGUCGC